GUGAGCGAGAGAGGACGUUGGGGUGUCGUGGCGGCGACGUUUAAAUCUGAAUAUUCGUGGCAUCAGUGUCUCCACGAUUUCCAGGACGAGUCUUUGGUCAGACGGGGUUUUGACCCUAAAUUCACCAAGAGUGUGUGGAGUGUCUCGUGGAGUCUUUGUCCUUUGCUGUGAGUGUAUACACUUGAAAAUUGCAGUGUUGUGCUGUGUUGUGUUGUCAACAACCACCUUUCAGGCCCGACAAAAUCCUGUGAAGGAAGUGAGUACCGAGGGGGGCGAAGAAAACAUCUCCAAUUAUAUGCCGUCGAUGACAUCCUGACCCUUCUUCCCCACGUGACGGUGGUGGGAAACAAUUUCAAAAAGAAGAGGGAAGCGUUCGACCCAUCCAGUGUAGUACACCCCGGGUGAAACAACUUACCUGUGUGUGACGCCAGCGGAGGCCGUGUUCGGCCCAACGCAACAGUAGUUUUCGAUCCGCCUCUCUAUCAGCAGUUGGUAGAAGCCUCAGAAAAGGAACGUCUGACGUCUAUUCCCUCGAAGAGUGAAGUCCCAGUUAUAUUGGAUGUACUUACCUUAUGCCCAAAGCUAAAGCCAGCAUAUUGUGUUGUACACUCGCCUGUAUGCUCAAAGUGAAGUCCCAGUUAUAUUGGAUGUACUUACCUUAUGCCCAAAGCUAAAGCCAGCAUAUUGUGUUGUACACUCGCCUGUAUGCUCAAGUGAAGCCCCAGUUGUCUUUCCUACGGACUUACUUGUGCCCCCGAGUGAAGAGCCAGCGGCCCCUCUGUCCACUGUCCGUGUCCAGUCCUGUUACACUUACCUGUAUGCUCUUGUGCAGAUCUAGCGUGUCCCUUUGAAGCGUCUACCUGCAUGUCGACCCGUCACUCAGGAUACAGAAACCGCGGAAAC
ensembl:lncRNA